rnacentral:rRNA from 1 species
GACGAACGCUGGCGGCGUGCUUAACACAUGCAAGUCGAACGGAAAGGCCCUGCUUUUGUGGGGUGCUCGAGUGGCGAACGGGUGAGUAACACGUGAGUAACCUGCCCUUGACUUUGGGAUAACUUCAGGAAACUGGGGCUAAUACCGGAUAGGAGCUCCUGCUGCAUGGUGGGGGUUGGAAAGUUUCGGCGGUUGGGGAUGGACUCGCGGCUUAUCAGCUUGUUGGUGGGGUAGUGGCUUACCAAGGCUUUGACGGGUAGCCGGCCUGAGAGGGUGACCGGCCACAUUGGGACUGAGAUACGGCCCAGACUCCUACGGGAGGCAGCAGUGGGGAAUAUUGCACAAUGGGCGGAAGCCUGAUGCAGCAACGCCGCGGGCGGGAUGACGGCCUUCGGGUUGUAAACCGCUGUCGCCUGUGACGAAGCGUGAGUGACGGUAAUGGGUAAAGAAGCACCGGCUAACUACGUG